GACGCAGAGGCGCCCACGUGGCGUCUCUACGGCGUUUUUACACGACACAUCCGGAUAGAACCCUUGUUUCAGUCGAAUUAACCCAAGUUGCUGGAUCCCCAUGACAAAUUGUGUUACAAAUUAGCCACGGCAAAGGCAAAAGAUAAGGCAAAAAAGUAGCUAACCAAGUUGGGUUGAACGCAACUUCUGACUUUCUAGACAGAGGCGCGUUCACUUUAGCUGGCGGAAUCUCCAAGUUCUUUACUGUACAGUAUCUGGGGCCACAUAUAGUCGUAGAAACGGAGUUCUGACAUGCAGGAAAUCAGUGAGCCUUCUGGGAUGUGCAAGAAAUGUCGAGGCACAGGAUCAGACAUGAUCAACACAUGAAUAAACAAAGAAUGAAGAGAGUAAUAGUUGAGUGGAAUGUAUCUAUGAACACAGCCUGGAUGAAGAUUUGAAUAUUCAUUGGACCAUGCUGACUGAAAAAAGGGGAGGAGUUGAAUAAAGUGUGAUCAUUGAUGCAUAUUAAACCCAUUGUGUGAAUAUCCUUAUGGUUUGUGCUAAUGUGUGAAAGUUUAUCUGUUGCAUGUAUAGAGUCCUCAUUCUGCUUAUGCAAAGAAUGGUGAUACUGUCC